CAGGGAAUCUUGCACAAUGGGCGAAAGCCUGAUGCAGCGACGCCGCGUGGGGGAUGAAGGCCUUAGGGUCGUAAACCCCUUUCAGCAGGGACGAAAAUGACGGUACCUGCAGAAGAAGCCCCGGCCAACUACGUGCCAGCAGCCGCGGUAAGACGUAGGGGGCGAGCGUUGUCCGGAUUUAUUGGGCGUAAAGAGCUCGUAGGCGGUUGCGUAAGUCGGAUGUGAAAACUCAGGGCUCAACCCUGAGACGCCAUCCGAUACUGCGCUGACUUGAAUCCAGUAGGGGAGUGUGGAAUUCCGGGUGUAGCGGUGAAAUGCGUAGAUAUCCGGAGGAACACCAGUGGCGAAGGCGGCCCCCUGGACCCAAACUGACGCUGAGGUACGAAAGCGUGGGUAGCAAACAGGAUUAGAUACCCAAGUAGUCCCUGAGCGGGCUGGCAAGGCGCAU
rnacentral:rRNA from 1 species